rnacentral:pre_miRNA from 1 species
GAUAUACUCUCUCCGUCCGGAAAUACUUGUCAUGGGAAUGGAUGUAUCUAGAUGUAUUUUAAUUCUAGAUACAUCCAUUUGUAUUCAUUUUCAUGAAAAGUAAUUUCGGACGGAGGGAGUAAUAU